GGCCGGGUGAUGGAACGGUAGACAUGCCGGUUUUAGAAACCGGUGCCCUAGGGUGUGAGGGUUCGAAUCCCUCUCCGGCUACCA
rnacentral:tRNA from 1 species